rnacentral:rRNA from 1 species
AUGCUGGNAUANAGCGGCANCNGCUCAAAUUUGAAAUCUGGCUUCCGNCCGAGNUGUAAUUUGNAGAGGAAGCUUUAGGCGCGGNNCCUUCUGAGUCCCCUGGAACGGGGCGCCAUANAGGGUGAGAGCCCCGUAUAGUUGGAUGCCUAGCCUGNGUAAAGCUCCUUCGACGAGUCNAGUAGUUUGGGAAUGCUGCUCAAAAUGGGAGGUAAAUUUCUUCUAAAGCUAAAUACCGGCCAGAGACCGAUAGCGCACANNUAGAGUGAUCGAAAGAUGAAAAGCACUUUGAAAAGAGGGUUAAAUAGCACGUGAAAUUGUUGAAAGGNAAGCGCUUGUGACCAGACUUGCGCCGGGCGGAUCAUCCGGUGUUCUCACCGGUGCACUCCGCCCGGCUCAGGCCAGCAUCGGUUCUCGCGGGGGGAUAAAGGUCCUGGGAACGUAGCUCCUCCGGGAGUGUUAUAGCCCGGGGCGUAAUGCCCUCGCGGGGACCGAGGUUCGCGCAUCUGCAAGGAUGCUGGCGUAAUGGUCAUCAGCGACCCGUCUUGAAACACGGACCAAGGAGUCAAGGUUUUGCGCGAGUGUUUGGGUGUAAAACCCGCACGCGUAAUGAAAGUGAACGUAGGUGAGAGCUUCGGCGCAUCAUCGACCGAUCCUGAUGUUUUCGGAUGGAUUUGAGUAGGAGCGNUAAGCCUUGGACCCGAAAGAUGGUGAACUAUGCUUGGAUAGGGUGAAGCCAGAGGAAACUCUGGUGGAGGCUCGCAGCGGUUCUGACGUGCAAAUCGAUCGUCAAAUCUGAGCAUGGGGGCGAAAGACUAAUCGAACCAUCUAGUAGCUGGUUACCGCCGAAGUUUCCCUCAGGAUAGCAGUGUUGUCUUCAGUUUUAUGAGGUAAAGCGAAUGAUUAGGGACUCGGGGGCGCUUUUUAGCCUUCAUCCAUUCUCAAACUUUAAAUAUGUAAGAAGCCCUUGUUACUUAAUUGANNGUGGGCAUUCGAAUGUACCAACACUAGUGGGCCAUUUUUGGUAAGCAGAACUGGCGAUGCGGGAUGANCCGANCGCGGGGUUAAGGUGCCGGAGUGGACGCUCAUCAGACACCACAAAAGGCGUUAGUNCAUCUUGACAGCAGGACGGUGGCCAUGGAAGUCGGAAUCCGCUAAGGNCUGUGUAACAACUCACC